AAUGCUCUUUGUAAUGGAGCCCAGGAAACCAUUGACGUUCUUUGCCACAAGGGCACAUUGACUCAGCUAUGAAGUAAAAUGGAAAUGAGCAACUCAGCUGCAGAAUUACAAGCAGAUGAGAAUCAAGGGCCUGUUCCUCACUGCAUGGCCUAGAUCUUCCACUGGGAACCCACCUGAAAACCUGAGUCUGGAGCAUGACUUGAACAUACAGAUGAGAAAAGCUCAGUUUUCAUUGGGAUUCUAUUUUAAGCUACCCCAGGAGCAAAAAGAAUGAGAUCAGGAGUGAGAUUUGCCUGCAGAUGAAGUAUGUGGGGUGAGUUACUUCUGGAGGUCAACCGUCGUACUCACUGGACUAUGAAUACU